CAGCCGCCGCGGUAAUACGUAGGUGGCAAGCGUUGUCCGGAAUUAUUGGGCGUAAAGGGCUCGCAGGCGGUUUCUUAAGUCUGAUGUGAAAGCCCCCGGCUCAACCGGGGAGGGUCAUUGGAAACUGGGAAACUUGAGUGCAGAAGAGGAGAGUGGAAUUCCACGUGUAGCGGUGAAAUGCGUAGAGAUGUGGAGGAACACCAGUGGCGAAGGCGACUCCCUGGUCUGUAACUGACGCUGAGGAGCGAAAGCGUGGGGAGCGAACAGGAUUAGAUACCCCAGUAGUCCCUGUCUCUUAUAC
rnacentral:rRNA from 1 species